CGUCAGCCGACUCCGCGCGCAGCGGAAGCCGAGGCUGCGGCGUCCCGGGCUCCCGGCGCGAUGAGGUUCCGGUUCUGCGGCGACCUGGACUGUCCCGACUGGGUCCUGGCGGAGAUCAGCACACUGGCCAAGAUCUCCUCUGUGAAGCUGCGGCUGCUGUGUGGCCAGGUGCUGAAGGAGCUCCUGGGGCAGGAGAUUGAGUACGAGAAGAUCCUGAAGCUCACUGCCGACGCCAGGUUUGAGUCCGGCGACGUGAAGGCCACGGUCGCGGUGCUGAGCUUCAUCCUCUGCAGCGCCGCCAAGCACAGCGUGGACAGCGAGUCCUUGUCCAGUGAGCUGCAGCAGCUCGGGCUGCCCAAAGAGCACGCGGCCACCCUGUGCCGCGGCUACGAGGAGAAGCAGAGCCCCCUGCAGGAGCACCUGCGGGCGUGCAGCCUGCGCGUGAACAGGCUGGUGGGCGUGGGCUGGCGGGUGGACUACACCCUGAGCUCCAGCCUGCUGCGCUCCGUGGAAGAGCCCGUGGUGCACCUGCGGCUGGAGGUGGCGCCCGCCCCGGGGGCUGCGGCCGAGCCCGUGGCCAUGACCCUCUCAGCAGACAAGUUUCAGGUCCUCCUGGCAGAGCUGAAGCAGGCCCAGAGGGUGAUGAGCAGCCUGGGCUGAGGAGGCCGCCCCAGCCGCGCCCCGCCACGCCAGCGGGCCUUCCUCUGUCGCCGCUGGACGCUGGCCUGGGCAGGGUGUGGCUCCCUGGGCCGGGGGCCCCUGGCGGAGGCCUCGCGGAGAGAGGAGGGCCCUGCUCGCCCCGCCAUCAUCCUUAGGACGGGCACGGGGCCCGUGCUGGCGCACUCACCGGCCGCCGGCUGCCCGCGGGGAGGGCCCUUGCCAGACCCGGGACGGUAGCCCGCAGGAGAGAACACGGAGAAACAGCUGGACAGGUCUCUGGUCCAGCAGUGCGGCCGCGGGCUAGGGCGCGUCCUACAGCAGAGCGCCGGUCCCAGUCCCCGCUGCCCCGCCGCAGCCCAGCUCCCUGCUCUGGCCUGGGAAGGCGGCCGGGGGUGCUCCAAGCGCUUGGGCCCUGCACCCACGUGGGAGACCCGGAUGGAGCUCCUGGCUUCUGGCCGUUGGGGCCAUUUGGGGAGUGAACCAGCAGAUGGAAGAUCCAUAUUCAUUCGUUCUCCCCACCCCCCGCCCCUCCCCUCCCCCUCCUCUGUGUAACUCUGCCUUUCAAAUAAAUUAUUUAUU